rnacentral:tRNA from 1 species
UCCUCCCGGAUGCACCUGGAUAGAGUACUCGGCUACGAACCGAGCGGUCGGAGGUUCGAAUCCUCCCGGAUGCACCA